UUUGUAUGUUUUCAGAGUUUUAGGUCCAGAAAAUUAGGAUUCCAUCUCGAUACUUUAGUUAAGACAUUCUAGAAUGGAUGACCUCCUUGACUUGAUAGGGGCCUUCCCAAUUCAGAAUUAGCUUCCUUUGCUCGAUUGGUCAAGAUCCCUCAGCUCAUCGUAAGAUUAGGUCAUCGACUUGGAAUUCCUUCCAUUUGACCUGAGAGUUGUAGUACCAUGCCACCUUGCAUUGAUAUGCCACC
rnacentral:lncRNA from 1 species